AUAAGGGCCAGCACAGCAUCAGAAGACAAUGGUGUCACUUUCUAGGGGAGAGAACUGAGAACAUCAGCUGUAAGGAGCCAGGAAGUGUUCAGACAGAUGUCAAACAGGACAAGCCUGGGUUUGAGAUCAGACAUGCCCAAGUUUCCAUCUCAGCCCCGCCACUUCUCUCUGGGGUACACCCAGUAAUAACGUAGCCUCUUAAGUCUUUCCAUCUAUAGAAUGGAGAGAUGGCUUAGGCUGUGUAUGGGUGAAAGCCUGUAGCCUGCCCUAAGUCUCUCAAUCUGGUCUGUGAUAGGCUAGAAGGCCGAGGUCACUUCCAAGCUCUGAGCUUUUUGUCUCACACAGAUGGAAAGGGGAACCCUUGUCCACUGAGCACCUACUCGAUGGAUGCACUGAAGACCUUCACACGCAUCGGUCACCCCCUCCUUACACUGUCUUCUGUAAGUUGAGCAUUAAUUAACUCUUCACAUUUUUAAUUUAUUUUUGUUUGUUUGUUUGUUUUUAUUUUUAUUUUUUCGAGACAGGGUCUCUCUGUAUAGCCCUGGCUGUCCUGGAACUCACUCUGUAGACCAGGCUGGCCUCGAACUCAGAAAUCCGCCUGCCUCUGCCUCCUGAGUGCUGGGAUUAAAGGCAUGCAGCACCACGCCCGCCUUUUUAAUUUAUUCUUUGAGACAGGAUCUCAUUGAUCUCAAGGCUGGCCUGGAACUCACUACGUAUCCCUGACUCCCUCAACAUUACCCAUAGUCUUAAUGCCUCAAGUCUCACAAGGGCUGGGGUCACAAGUGUGAACCAUCAUGGGGUACCUAUAAUUGCCAUUUU
rnacentral:lncRNA from 1 species